CAAUAGCGUAUAUUAAAGCUGUUGCGGUUAAAAAGCUCGUAGUUGGAUUUCUGUCAAGGACAACUGGUCCGCCCUCCGGGUGAGCACAUAGUUUGGUCUUGACAUCUUGCUGGAAGCUGUUGCUGCACUUGGCUGUGUGGCGCAGUGUUCAGCACUUUCACUUUGAGGAAAUUGGAGUGUUUCAAGCAGGCACAUGCCUUUGGACACAGUAGCAUGGAAUAAUUAGAUUGGGCUUUUGCUCCAAUUUGUCGGUUUCUGGAGCUGAGGUGAGUAUUAAUGGGGAUUGUUGGGGGCGUCCGAAUUUAGCCGUCAGAGGUGAAAUUCUUGGAUCUGCUAAAGACGGACAACUGCGAAAGCGUUUGCCCAGGAUGUUUUCAUUGA
rnacentral:rRNA from 1 species